AUUUACUAACCAAGGCUAUUAGAUAGUGGUAUCGUCAUAUUGGCUAUAACUUGUAAGUAUUGUCCUUAGCCAAACCUUUUUGUGAUCAAGGGAUUCCCAUGUACCCCAUAAGUAGGUUUAUUAAGCCAAACCAUUCCUUUAAACCAUUCCAAAACCAUUUAAGAAAUUUAGGGUUCCAUUACCAAGUUUAAACCAUGCAUAAGUUCCAUUGAAAAUCCAAUCAUAUAGUGAAAACAUUGUUAUAGGCAUUUAUCAAACACAUUAAGGGCAUAGUAUUUCCAAAACCAAUUACAAUUAUCAAUAACCAUUCCCAUGCAAUCCAAUUAUCCA
rnacentral:lncRNA from 1 species